UGAUUACACUGUUUCCUCACUGUUUCCUGUUAACAUUGUGUUGUACAGGUAUAUAAAGAACUAAAUGGAGGUGUGUUGGUGAAUGGCAUUUAGGCUUUCCUAUUUGCAGGUCUCACGUGAGAUGGACACAAAUUUUCAGUUUCCACAUGAACUGGAGUAGAACGUUUCUCUCACUAUAGACCACUUGCUUGCCAUCCAAUCAGUCUGGCUGUGCAAAUGAAAAACUGGGAGCCGUUUGUGUUGGAUCUAGCAUUUGCCAUAGACAAGAUUCUGGGACUUGUACGCUUCAGGGUAAAAUUCUCUUCACCAUUUAUCUCCCCAUGGAUGGACUUGCCACCACUGCCAUUAUCUGAGGAGGAAUUCCUAAUUCAGCCUUCAAGCGCCUCUGAGCUGCUCUUCGUACUCCAAUUGCAUCGUCUUCUUCAAGUUCUCCUGGAUUACUUAAUGGAUGACUACAACAAGUAUUGGUAAAACAACCUGAAAUGUUUGAACAUAUGUAAAUUCACUUUUCUUCAAGAUAGGUUUGAAAGACAAUAAAAAUUAAUGAAACAAAAAAUAAGAAAAAAA